GAUGAACGCUAGCUACAGGCUUAACACAUGCAAGUCGAGGGGCAGCAUGGUCUUAGCUUGCUAAGGCUGAUGGCGACCGGCGCACGGGUGAGUAACACGUAUCCAACCUGCCGUCUACUCUUGGACAGCCUUCUGAAAGGAAGAUUAAUACAAGAUGGCAUCAUGAGUCCGCAUGUUCACAUGAUUAAAGGUAUUCCGGUAGACGAUGGGGAUGCGUUCCAUUAGAUAGUAGGCGGGGUAACGGCCCACCUAGUCUUCGAUGGAUAGGGGUUCUGAGAGGAAGGUCCCCCACAUUGGAACUGAGACACGGUCCAAACUCCUACGGGAGGCAGCAGUGAGGAAUAUUGGUCAAUGGGCGAGAGCCUGAACCAGCCAAGUAGCGUGAAGGAUGACUGCCCUAUGGGUUGUAAACUUCUUUUAUAAAGGAAUA
rnacentral:rRNA from 1 species